UACGGGGGGGGCAAGCGUUGUUCGGAAUUACUGGGCGUAAAGGGCUCGUAGGCGGCCAACUAAGUCAGACGUGAAAUCCCUCGGCUUAACCGGGGAACUGCGUCUGAUACUGGAUGGCUUGAGUGCAGGAGAGGAACGCGGAAUUCCAGGUGUAGCGGUGAAAUGCGUAGAUAUCUGGAGGAACACCGGUGGCGAAGGCGGCGUUCUGGACUGCAACUGACACUGAGAAACGAAAGCCAGGGGAGCAAACGGG
rnacentral:rRNA from 1 species